UCAGUAGCUCAGUGGAUAACGCGAUGGCAUUUGAAGCAAAAGGGACUGGGUUCGAGUCCCAGAGUGA
rnacentral:tRNA from 1 species